CGAAAGGAGGCUUUUCCAGACAGCUUCAGUGCAGGUCCAGAAGGCGAUGGCUGUGAUGCCAACACAGUUGGACUAUAUCCAUGAGGAGCCAGAGUGGGAUUCCUUUGGAUCCGAAUUAUGCAGCCAUACAGGAUCGGACCCAGAGUACAAGCCAACUCACACUGCAUCAUCAUCCAGUGAUGAGGAAGAUUUGAAAAGCCGAGACAAACACAAGAACCUCAGAACUUAUGUGAAAAGACAAAAAAAAACAAAAGACGAACAAAACAAAAUCAACUGUGACCAUAAAAACUUGUACAAAAAGGGAAGAUGGCAAGCGAGCACGCGACAAAAGACAUUAUUGUCUCUACUGUGGCCAGUCAGACUUAAGGAUUGCGAGACAUUUGCAGAGAAAUCAUAUGGAGAUCCAGGAUGUAGCAUAUGUCUUCAGCUUUCCAUCAGGAUCAAAAGACAGAAGGGUUCUUUUGGAACAACUGAGAAAUAAAGGAGAUUUCAAGCACAAUACCAAAGUCCUGGAAAAGGCAGAGGACAAAUAGUGACAUGGAGGCAGCCCUCUGAUGAAGCUUCUGUUAAGGAUUAUUUGGCUUGCCAAUAUUGCUAUGGACUGUUUGCUAAAAAGGUUUUGAAAAGACAUCAUUCCACAUGCAGAAGUAAAACAUCAUGUGUAACAGAAGACAAAAAGACAAGAAAAAGAGUACAAAGUC